rnacentral:rRNA from 1 species
CUACGGGCCGCAGCAGUGGGGAAUAUUGCACAAUGGGCGCAAGCCUGAUGCAGCCAUGCCGCGUGUAUGAAGAAGGCCUUCGGGUUGUAAAGUACUUUUAGCGGGGAGGAAGGGAGUAAAGUUAAUACCUUUGCUCAUUGACGUUACCCGCAGAAGAAGCACCGGCUAACUCCGUGCCAGCAGCCGCGGUAAUACGGAGGGUGCAAGCGUUAAUCGGAAUUACUGGGCGUAAAGCGCACGCAGGCGGUUUGUUAAGUCAGAUGUGAAAUCCCCGGGCUCAACCUGGGAACUGCAUCUGAUACUGGCAAGCUUGAGUCUCGUAGAGGGGGGUAGAAUUCCAGGUGUAGCGGUGAAAUGCGUAGAGAUCUGGAGGAAUACCGGUGGCGAAGGCGGCCCCCUGGACGAAGACUGACGCUCAGGUGCGAAAGCGUGGGGAGCAAACAGGAUUAGAUACCCGAGUAGUC